AUGGGCGCCGUCGCCUCCACGGUGGCGGCGCGCUUCGCCUUCUUCCCGCCCUCCCCGCCGUCGUACGGCGUCGAGCCCCCGCCCUCGCCGGCCGCGGCCGCCGCGGACGGCGCGGUGGUGGAGCUCAGCGGGGUGCCCCGGCGGGGCGGCGUGGAGGCGCGGCGGCUGCCGACCAAGCGCGGCUCGGAGGUGGUGGCCAUGUACGUGCGCCAGCCCGGGGCGCGCCUCACGCUGCUCUACUCCCACGGCAACGCGGCCGACCUGGGCCAGAUGUACGAGCUCUUCGUCGAGCUCAGCUCGCACCUCAACGUCAACCUCAUGGGUUAUGAUUAUUCUGGAUAUGGGCAAUCAUCUGGGAAGCCAAGUGAGCAGAACACUUAUGCAGACAUAGAGGCCGCUUAUAGGUGUCUCAUAGAAACUUAUGGGGCCUCCGAGGAAAACAUCAUUCUGUAUGGUCAAUCAGUUGGCAGUGGCCCUACUUUAGAUUUGGCAUCUCGUUUGCCUCAUUUGAGAGCAGUGGUUCUACAUAGCCCAAUUUCGUCUGGCUUGAGAGUAAUGUAUCCUGUGAAACAUACAUACUGGUUUGACAUAUAUAAGAACAUUGACAAAGUUGCAUUGGUCAAAUGCCCCGUGUUAGUAAUCCAUGGUACGGCUGAUGAUGUUGUUGACUGUUCUCAUGGGAGAGCACUGUGGGAACUAUCCAAAGUGAAGUAUGAGCCUUUGUGGGUCAAAGGUGGGAACCAUUGUAAUUUGGAACUCUAUCCCGAAUACAUUAAGCACCUAAAGAAGUUCAUCACAGCCAUAGAGAAGUCCCCACCACUGAAAGAUGAUUCUCCAGAAAGUUCAGGCCCUUCAGAUCUUGAAACAGGAUCUGAAAGUAUGGAGAGUUCAAGAAAAAGCACGGAUGUGAGGGACAAAUCAAGGUCAAGCACUGAUCACAGGCGGAGUACAGAUCGACGGGAGAAACCAAGGAGCAGCAUAGAUAGGAAGGAUAAAGGCAGAAAGAGUGUAGAUCAUCCUGACAAACCACGGGCUAGUGUGGAUCAAUCUGAUAAGCCACGGAAAAGCAUUGACCGCUUUGGAGGGAUGAUGAGGUCGGUUAAAUUGUGCAAUAUUGACUGCUUCAAAGUAACUUCCACUUCCGGGAGCUGA
rnacentral:rRNA from 1 species